rnacentral:tRNA from 1 species
AUUAAUAUAGUAUAUUAGUACAUUUGAUUUCCAAUCAGAAAGUAAAAUAAUAUUUAUUUUUUAUUAUUA